GCCAGGAGCUGCUUCCAUGCUCAAGAACACAGUGGAUGCAUGCUCACAGAGAGAGCAAUUUUCUAUCAAUCCUGAUCUAUUCUCAUGUGAUCUAGGGGGCACCAUCGACAAUGUAGUAGAUGGGCAGGAGAAAGGAUGUAGCCGGGAAGAUAUCUUGGUGGUAAUCUGUUGUUACACAGGAGAAAAAAAGUUUGUUUUGCUGAUUAUAUGGAACAAAUUAGAGAGGUACACUGUGUUUUAUUACUGAAUCCAACUUCCAUGAUAUGUUUCUCCUUUGUGCAUGCUCAUGAAUCCUGGUUCCUCUUUUUUUUUUGAUUGUGCAUUCUCAGUUGCUAAUUUUUGCUAUGUCCAUCCCAAUGAGAGGCUUUCCUUCCUUUAUUUUCUCUGCCAGAUUUGAACGGUGUUUUCUCUCAAAGUCAGAAUUGAACAUCUCUCAAUGAGAGGCUUUCUUUGCCAUAGUCACUCAAUUCAUUCCCUUCCUUAUUCCUUGCACACUUUAGCUCUCACACCCUUGGCUACGACUCCUUGAUACGGAGAAAACAUAAAAGCAUAUUUAAAUUGGGAGGAUUUAAUGGAAGAGGGCGAGGCGGGACUAUUCUGCACAAGAGGAAGAGGGAAGAUAGCUCUGCAGCGGCGCCAUGGCUCCUUGCCGCGAACUCGGCAGCGUCCAUGUGCAGGGGCAGGCGGAGGCCGGUGCCGGCAAGCAGGCAGUGGAGCGCGUUGACGGAGCCGUGGUGGAGGUCAUGGGCGCCGAUCUGCUCCACCCACCUCGAGCCGACGCGAGGAAGAGGGAAGAUAGCUCAUUAACUCUGCAGCGGCGCCAUGGCUGCCUGAUGGCGAGCGCCUCAUCACGGCUGCUGGCCACGAGCGCCUCACCGCGGCUUCUGGCCGACGAGCACAGGGGAGCUCGGCUGCUGGGAAUGGAGCUCCGCAGCAGCGACUCGGUGGAGGCAGGCAAUGGAUAAGUGGCGGAGGUGGCCGGUGGUUCCAGGUUUUUUUUGCAAAAAAACGAAACGUUAUCUUGUCAGGAACACACUUAAAAUAGGACUGCGGGUUUAUUUCUCAGAAAGGGAGGGUCUUUUCUGCAAAAUGUCAUCGACGGACGACCAGAAACAAUCUCUGGUUUAUUAUUAGGGAAAGAUACAUGCUAAAAGAACUACUUGAUUCAAAGUGGCUGCUACAUACUACUCCCUCUCUUCCAUAAUAUAAGAACGUAUUUAUUACAUAUGCUUUUUUUAAUCUUUGAACUCUGCUAUACAUAUGACACCAUACCUUAGGUAUGAUUCUCAUCCGACUUUGGCAAUCAAACCGUGCGUAGGUGGGAUCAAGGAAAGUGCUCUAAACAAGGUACUUUGUGCUGAUCGAUGAAAACACAAUGUAUAGAAUGAUCCAACUAAUUUGCACAUGCUGCUUGCGCUCAUCGCCAAUCUCGAGGCCUUAAGCAUGUUGAUGUGCACUCCUCUUGUACAUGCCCCAUGACAAGAAUCAUAUGGAACGAAAUAGCUCAAUUCUGUAGACUGUCUUCUCUGGAUCGCAUGUGAAAUAUUGAUUGAUAUUGAUUGCAGUAUGUUCCUCGUGACCAUUUGGAGGAUUUGGCAUGUCUACAAUGAGAUUGUUCCUGACAAGCAGCCCAGUUGAUGCUUCUCGCCAUCUCCUCUGUAGUUACCUGCAAUCUCUUUUGGGUCUUACACAUCAGCCAGGUCAUGAUCAUGCCAAAGAAAAAGUAGUUGUAUCUUAUGAUUCUAUGGUCCAAUCUUUGCAUGCUCUGAAGCCAUCGGUGCUAGCAACGUCGUGGAAAUGGUACCUUCCUCCCAUGGGAUGGGUGAAGUUGAAUACCGAUGGAUCCUUUGCUUCCACAAAUCAAGCGGGUGCAGGCAUUGUUCUUAGAGAUGAUUUAUGGGCCAUUAUAUUUUCUUCAUGUCGCCAACUUUUCUCCUGCAGAGAGGCUUCGGAAGCCGAGUUAAUUAUGUGCGUGCAUGGAAGAUGUCUCUCUUGCUUUGGAAUGGUGUGAAGUGCUAUGCGCUGGAAGGGAUGAAUAUGAUCCAGAAUAGCGACAAUGACGAGUCUAUCUACUCUUCUUUAGUGCUUGAGGUAAGACACUAAUGUCUUAUCAUCAGACUUGUAAUACUCAUGUAAACCAUAGUCAGAAACAUUUACUCACUCAUUAGCAAAUUAUGCUAAUGC
rnacentral:lncRNA from 1 species